rnacentral:lncRNA from 1 species
CUCCUCCCUCUCUCUCUCUCUCUCUCUCUCUCUCUCUCUCUAUAUAUAUAUUAGAAUUAAGAGGUGAAUCUAUCUUCGCUCCUAACAUUGGGUGCGGUGACUCAAGGUUUAGACGGGUGGUCGAUGGCAGCAAAAACGCAGUGCUUAUACAGGGGUGGUGACACUAAAAUAUAUAGAAGCUUUAGCAAUUAAACAAGCAUUAGCUUGGAUUGAAAACAAGAAUGGCGGGAGGUGAUUCCAGAAUUAGAUUGCUUGGCAGUUGUGCUGCUUGUGCAAGUAAUUUGAAGCAAAAUGGAGAUGAGAUUGAGGGCCUGUUUGGGAAGAGAAAGCAGAAGCUGCUUCUGACUUCUGCUUUUCUUGACCUGUUUGUGUAAAUAAGUAGAAACACUUUUAAAAGCUAAGAAUACUAGCUUCUCUCUCACAGAUUUUACUUAUUUUCCAAAAUUUUAUUAACUUAUUUAAUUCUCACUUCUAGUCCACUUCUUUAAUUUAAGUAAGAAGUCACUUCUUUUAAGUUAAUCCAAACGGUUCCUGAGUUUCGAUCGAAAACCUAUCGUAAUUGAUAACUUUUAUAUAUUAAUAUACAUUUUGAGGAUUAACACAUGAACAAGAAAAGAACAGAUGAACAAGAAAAGAAAAGAAGAAA